rnacentral:rRNA from 1 species
UACAGAGGGUGCUAGCGUUGUUCGGAAUCAUUGGGCGUAAAGGGCGUGUAGGCGGUUUGUUAAGUCAUGUGUGAAAUCCCUCGGCUCAACCGGGGAACGACGCAUGAAACUGGCAGCUAGAGUACCAAAGAGGGGGUGGAAUUCCCGGUGUAGCGGUGAAAUGCGUAGAUAUCGGGAAGAACACCGUGGCGAAGGCGGUCUC